UUUUGUUUUGUUUUGUUUUGUGUUUUUGUUUUUGUUUUUAAUAGAAACAGGACAGAGAAGGUCAUAAAUCAAGAUACUUUUCAAAUGCAUCAGUGGAAGCAUCAGAUGAAGGACUCUUGGCUACUUCCCAAGCACCAUGUCUGCCUGCACACUGCCAUAUCCCACCAUGAUGGUAAUGGACUGAACCUCUGAACUAUCACCACCACCGGCUCCAUGUGCACAGCAAAGGAUACUCUGGGAUCUCCCUGAGCUUCCAAGCCAGAUUCAGCCAGUUCCUGCCACCUGAUAGAGAACAGCAGCAGCUGAUGAUCACUUCACACCCACGGGAUAGCACCAAUCAGCUGACUGCUCUGGCGGCGUGCUCCAGCAUAGCCUAGAAAACCCGACCUUAACAGUGUAUCUUUAAACAGACUGACUAGUUAAUGCUCUCAAAAUUGGUUGGAGACUUGAAAAAAAAGCAAAGGGAUGUUUCCUGAAUGCCCACAUUUCUAGACUGGGACACAUAUCUGCUUCAGGAAACAUGCAUAUUCUGAUGUCACUCCUAAAUGAGCCACUUGGCUGGGGUUUCUUGUACCUAAAAUUAUGGGUAUGUUCAUUAUUCUAAAGUGUAUGAGGCUAUCUAAUGAAAAAAAUUUUUUUUACUUUAUUCAACCCAACUCUCUCCUGAUAGAUGAAUAGUUAA